rnacentral:rRNA from 1 species
UACGUAGGGGGCAAGCGUUGUCCGGAUUUAUUGGGCGUAAAGAGCGUGUAGGCGGCCAUACAGGUCAGCUGUGAAAACUCGAGGCUCAACCUCGAGACGUCGGUUGAAACCGUAUGGCUAGAGUCCGGAAGAGGAGAGUGGAAUUCCCGGUGUAGCGGUGAAAUGCGCAGAUAUCAGGAAGAACACCCGUGGCGAAGGCGGCUCACUGGACCGGUUCUGACGCUGAGGCGCGAAAGCGUGGGGAGCGAACCGG